UCUCAAAGUACGCCGAGUUCAUGAUUGAAGCGGGGGACCCAACCGUCACGACACGUGACACGGGGUGAAUCUUCUCAGACAAGAGAAGUAGGGCAAAAUCCUAGGUAUGCCCGAAUCCGACAGCUAACCUCGCAGGCGUUUUAGGAGGGAACG
rfam:Exiguobacterium sibiricum 255-15, complete genome.